UCCUGAAAAAGCCACCUGUGACCACAGAGGUGGACAUGGAGGGGACACUUAGACCCAAAGCAUAACUCUCCUAUCCUCUUUUGUUUUUUGUUCUCAAAACUCUAGGAAGCAGAAGAUUUUUCACUCCAUGUUUAUUUCAGAACAAAAUAACAAAGCAAUGAUCCCCAAGGUGAGUUCAGAAGCGGUGGAGGAGGUAAAUGGUGAACACAGAGGGGCCAGGAGAGAGUGAAGGGAAGUCCUGCAGCCAGCGCCAGGGCUCCCAGCUGGGCCAGGACUGUGUGAUCCUGGGCCUCUCUCAGUGGAGAAUGAGAGGUGAGCAGGAAGCCGGUCAGGACGAGCAGAAGCAGGGACACAGGGCCUUCCUUCAGCGCUGCCACCUUCACUUCAGCUCAGGAGUCCUGAGGAGAGGGGAGCAGAGGGGAAACCGAUCCUUAGAAGACCCCUCCGCACUCAGCUGAGGAUGACUCUCCUUUACCAAACACACCUGUCUACUGUUACCAAGUCACAUUAAGUUCGGGUUUCUAAACUGAUGUUUGUGGUCAACAUGGUGUCUGGGACUUACUAAUAUGUGUGCUUCACGCCUGCUACAAUCCCUCACAAUACCAACCUCAGUAAAUGCAUUUUUAGAAAAGGACACUUUUCCACAAUACCAGAAAAUACAGGCAGAAGAUUGUUAUUAAAUUAUUAAUGACAAUUCUGCAUCAUAUUUUAUUAAUAAAGUGUUUAUGUUGAACAUGAAGAGUAUAAGCAGAAAUGAAAUAUAAAUCAGGAAAUGGAGAAAAUGCUGAAUAAAAUAGCAAGAAGGUAGUAAGAAUAUUUCUACAUUUAAAAAAAUCCAAAAAAAUCAUUUAGAAAACUGUAGGAACCCAGAGAAUAGGAAAGAAAUAAUUGUUACAGUAAUAGUAUUUGGAAAUAAGUGUCAAAGAGUGUUCACAAAUCUUAUAAAUCAGAAAAAUCAAUGUUAAAACUUAAAAAUAUAAUGUUUUAGAGUACGGUGGAACUCUACAUCCAAGGGUUCCCCAUUGGGGAAUUCAUCCAUCUAUGUAGAAAAAUAUUGAAAAAUACAUACUGAACAUAGUCACUUUUUUGUCAUUUUUUUCAAACAAUAUGACAACUAUGUAAGAUACCAUUUAUACAGUGUUGGGUAUUAUAAGCAAUUUAGACAUGUUUUGAAAUAAAAAGAGGAUAUACAUAAGUUAUAUGCAAAUAUUACACCACUUUAUACAGCCCUGGAAUAUUUUUUCAGAUUUUGAUAUUCAAGGAAACACCCCCCACAGCACGCUAAGGGAAAACUGAAUUUGUUAGUACUUAAUGGUCUCACCAACUGCAAUCGCAGGUUAGGUUACAAUUACAGACAGAAAUAAUACUCAGCCACCUCAGUGCUAUUACUUAUAAAAAUCGUAGCAUUAAUAUGUUAAGUAACAAAACUAUGAUCAAAAUCCAGUCCUCCCAUCUCUUCAAGGACGGACAGGAGUGUACAGCAGCCAGGCAAGCACUCAGCCAAAACCGGAAACUGAGGCCACAGGAGGCCUGGGGAAGGUCACAGGUGCUCACCCCACAGGAGCGGAGCCCACACUCUUGCUCCCUGAAGAGUGCUGUGCACGCGGCGCACUUGUGUUCCGGGCUCCACUCUAG
rnacentral:lncRNA from 1 species